rnacentral:rRNA from 1 species
UGUUCUGCCAAGGGCAUAGCUGGGCAGCUAAGUGCGGAUCGGAUAAACGCUGAAAGCAUCUAAGCGUGAAGCCGUCCUUAAGAUAAGAUAUCCCAUCAGGUUAACUGAGUAAGACCCCCGGAAGACUACCGGGUUGAUAGGCUCAAAGUGUAAGCAUGGUGACAUGUUUAGCUAGCGAGUACUAAUUGGUCGAGGGCUUAACCUU